AGGGUAGGGCUGAGACCCAAUUCCGGUCUGCCCUUUGCGGACUCCUUGCUGGGAGGGACUCUAGCCUCCUUCUUGGGUGUUCCGUUUGCUAAAGGGACAAGCAUUCCCUGUACAUACACACUUGGGGGUGCUGGUUGGUGUUUCUUGGGGCUGUUAAGGGGGAGAGGCUUGGAAACAGAGGAGGAAGGAUGGGGGUGGGAACGGUCGGCUUUCAGCUCCUUUGAAACUCCAUUUUUCUUUCUGGGGCCAUGCUAUUUAUAAAUGCCAGGGAAAUUGUAAACAGCCAGGGGAGCUUGGGUUGGCACUCGGUGAGUUACACAGCAGCAAAGAAGGUUUCUGUGUGAAUCAGGGAAGGAAAGUUUACUCCAGAAUUUUCCACAGUCCUUUUAUUAGGGACUAACAUGAGCCUGGAAACAGGCUGCUCCCAGGAGGGGUGGCUGCAGGGUUUGCCCCGCAUGGCAUUUCCUUCCUCCCCGCCUCCCUCCUUUCAGCACUUCUCUGGGCCUGUGUUCCGUGCCUUGCCCUGCGAGGGGCCAAAGAGCCUUGGAAGAGGACAGAGCUAGCUGAAUCACCAGCUGCACCACUGCGGGCUCACUUUGUGUCUCAGACAUG
rnacentral:lncRNA from 1 species